GUGGGGAAUAUUGGACAAUGGGGGGAACCCUGAUCCAGCCAUGCCGCGUGUGUGAAGAAGGCCUUUUGGUUGUAAAGCACUUUAAGCGAGGAGGAGGCUACCGAGAUUAAUACUCUUGGAUAGUGGACGUUACUCGCAGAAUAAGCACCGGCUAACUCUGUGCCAGCAGCCGCGGUAAUACAGAGGGUGCAAGCGUUAAUCGGAUUUACUGGGCGUAAAGCGCGCGUAGGUGGCCAAUUAAGUCAAAUGUGAAAUCCCCGAGCUUAACUUGGGAAGUGCAUUCGAUACUGGUUGGCUAGAGUAUGGGAGAGGAUGGUAGAAUUCCAGGUGUAGCGGUGAAAUGCGUAGAGAUCUGGAGGAAUACCGAUGGCGAAGGCAGCCAUCUGGCCUAAUACUGACACUGAGGUGCGAAAGCAUGGGGAGCAAACAGGAUUAGAAACCCCGGUAGUCC
rnacentral:rRNA from 1 species